rnacentral:lncRNA from 1 species
GGUGUCCUGGCUUGUCUCAGGAGUGGUGUGGUGCUUACAGCAAGAGCGGAGUUGGUCUCUUCUCACUGGUGGCGUGUGACAGGACAAGGGGAAAUGGCCUUAAGCUGCGCCAGGAGUAUAACAGGACUUGUGCAGGGAGGGAAAGGAGAAAAAGAGAAGACAGCAUUUGCAAAAUGUUCCCCCAAACCCACCAGCCAGUUAAAGCAUACGAAUGUGUAGACAAUGAAGUUCACACUAGAUGGAUAAUGAAGUUAGGGAAAAAAUGUGAAUUGGAAGUCUACAGACAACUUGUGAACU